ACAAUACAUAAAUUUCUGCAUAGCUUGAAGGGACCUUGUGGAUUGUUAAAUCCAACUAUGUAGUUUACAGAUUAAGCAGUUAAAGUCUGCAGAGAAGGGACAGUACUAAAUGUCAUCAGCUUGUUAGUUCCAAAGCUGGGUGGGAAAAGCAGUUCUUCCUUCUGAUUCUUAGACCAAUAAUUCAUUCCUCCAUUCCAUAAUGACGAUUCUUAGAACGUGACCUUACCUGUAACAAUAGGGACAAAGCAAGACAAUUGUCUUUGAGUUUCAGGAACAGACUUUUUAGAAUUAAAUAGUUUCAGGUACAUGUUAUAGGGAAUUCAGUUGAUUUGUCCUGGUUAGAAAGCACUUUGUUCACACCUAUACAUAUGACUCUAGGUUAUGGGUUCUUCUGGAGUCUUCUGAACCUGCCGGGCAUUUCUGACUGGAUGAAAAUUAACAAAAGUCCAUGUUCAUCCUGAUGAAAAUUAGCAGCAGUUCAUCUUAGUUUAAUUGCCACAACGUGCAGCUAUGAGAGCUUUAGGAAGGGGGAAACAGCAAGUGGAGAGGAAGCUUCCUUUUUAAUGACACGACCUGGAAGUUGCAAAUAUGUCUUCAACUCACAUCCAAUUGGCCAGAGCCUAGCUGCAAGAGAAGCUGGAAACAUUUCUAGCUGUGUGGCCAUAUUCUGGGGCUUCUGCACUUUCUUUCAUGAGAAGGAAUGAGAUUGGAACUAUAAGGCCUGAUAAAAUUUGGAAGUCAUCAUUUAUUUAACAAUCACCAGGUACCGAGGGCCUGCUGUUUACCUCAUAGUCUUAUAGUCCAGUUGGAAAGAUAGACAAUUAAAUAGAAAUUUAAAACAAAGUGUGAAGAUGUUGUAUUGGGGAAACAAAGUACUGUAAGAACACAGGGCAGGAGAACCUAACCUAGUCUAGCGACAAAAGGAUCUGCAAGACCUUCCUGAGGGCAUUGAUGCUACGCUGAGAAUUCUGUGGAAGGUAUUGUUUGGGUAAACAGUGGAAAUUUUCAAAGGGUGGGGAUCAGAGACAAUGUGUUUUCUAAGAAAUCUUCCAAAGACAGAAGUCAUUUUACAUGGCUGCUGCAAGAAAUCUUACCCCAAGGCAGGAGCAAAGGGAAAGCUAUGUAGAAUUUAUCCAGAAAGGAAGAAGGAUUACUGAGCUGGAAAGAAAUUUUCUUGGCACCAGUCUUAUAGCAAAGUAUAGAGUCAUGAUGAGCCCCAGAUUCUGGUCAUCUACAGCGAUUUGAAACAUGGACCUGGUUAUUGUUUGGCUGCAAGCACCAAUAAAUCGAUCAAGCUUUUCAACAAGAA